UACGUAGGGACCAAGCGUUGUUCGGAUUUACUGGGCGUAAAGGGCGCGUAGGCGGCAAUUCAAGUCAUCUGUGAAAUCUCCGGGCUUAACCCGGAACGGUCAGAUGAUACUGCUUUGCUAGAGUGCGGAAGGGGCAAUCGGAAUUCUCGGUGUAGCGGUGAAAUGCGUAGAUAUCGAGAGGAACACCUGAGGUGGAGACGGGUUGCUGGGCCGACACUGACGCUGAGACGCGAAAGCGUGGGGAGCGAACAGG
rnacentral:rRNA from 1 species